rnacentral:rRNA from 1 species
CUCCUACGGGACGCAGCAGUGAGGAAUAUUGGUCAAUGGGCGAGAGCCUGAACCAGCCAAGUCGCGUGAGGGAGUACUGCCCUAUGGGUUGUAAACCUCUUUUGUCGGGGAGCAAAAGCCGGACGUGUCCGGCUGUGAGAGUACCCGAAGAAAAAGCAUCGGCUAACUCCGUGCCAGCAGCCGCGGUAAUACGGAGGAUGCGAGCGUUAUCCGGAUUUAUUGGGUUUAAAGGGUGCGUAGGCGGAAUAUCAAGUCAGCGGUAAAAAUUCGGGGCUCAACCCCGUCGGGCCGUUGAAACUGAUGUU